AGAGUUUGAUCCUGGCUCAGGAUGAACGCUAGCGGCAGGCUUAACACAUGCAAGUCGAGGGGUAACAGGUCUUUCGGGACGCUGACGACCGGCGCACGGGUGAGUAACGCGUAUGCAAUCUACCUAUAACAGGGGGAUAGCCCGAAGAAAUUCGGAUUAAUACCCCAUAAUAUUAUCGGAAGGCAUCUUCUGAUUCUUAAAACUCUGGUGGUUAUAGAUGAGCAUGCGUGUCAUUAGCUAGUUGGUGAGGUAACGGCUCACCAAGGCAACGAUGACUACGGGGUCUAAAAGGAUGGUCCCGCACACUGGUACUGAGACACGGACCAGACUCCUACGGGAGGCAGCAGUGAGGAAUAUUGGUCAAUGGGCGCAAGCCUGAACCAGCCAUGCCGCGUGCAGGAUGACUGCCCUAUGGGUUGUAAACUGCUUUUAUACGGGAAGAAUGUGUCCUACGUGUAGGAUUUUGACGGUACCGUAUGAAUAAGCAUCGGCUAACUCCGUGCCAGCAGCCGCGGUAAUACGGAGGAUGCAGGCGUUAUCCGGAUUUAUUAGGUUUAAAGGGUGCGUAGGCGGGUUUGUAAGUCAGUGGUGAAAUCCUACAGCUUAACUGUAGAACUGCCAUUGAUACUGCAGACCUUGAAUGUAGUUGAGGUAGGCGGAAUGUGUAGUGUAGCGGUGAAAUGCAUAGAUAUUACACAGAACACCAAUUGCGAAGGCAGCUUACUAAGCUAUAAUUGACGCUGAUGCACGAAAGCGUGGGGAUCAAACAGGAUUAGAUACCCUGGUAGUCCACGCUGUAAACGAUGAUUACUCGUUGUUGGCGAUACACAGUCAGCGACUGAGCGAAAGCAUUAAGUAAUCCACCUGGGGAGUACGUUCGCAAGAAUGAAACUCAAAGGAAUUGACGGGGGCCCGCACAAGCGGAGGAACAUGUGGUUUAAUUCGAUGAUACGCGAGGAACCUUACCUGGGCUUAAAUGUUAUGCAUCUUCGGAUGUCGUCUUCAGAAAUGGAGCUUAAAAUUACAAGGUGCUGCAUGGCUGUCGUCAGCUCGUGCCGUGAGGUGUCGGGUUAAGUCCCAUAACGAGCGCAACCCCUAUUCUUAGUUGCCAGCGGAUAAUGCCGGGGACUCUAAGGAGACUGCCACCGUAAGGUGUGAGGAAGGUGGGGAUGACGUCAAGUCAGCACGGCCCUUACGUCCAGGGCUACACACGUGCUACAAUGGUCAGUACAAAGGGCUGCUACCUGGCAACAGGACGCUAAUCCUUAAAACUGGUCUUAGUUCGGAUUGAAGUCUGCAACUCGACUUUAUGAAGUUGGAUUCGCUAGUAAUCGUACAUCAGCAAUGGUACGGUGAAUACGUUCCCGGGCCUUGUACACACCGCCCGUCAAGCCAUGGGAGCCGGGGGUACCUGAAGUUCGUAACCGCAAGGAGCGACCUAGGGUAAAACUGGUGACUGGGGCUAAGUCGAAACAAGGUA
rnacentral:rRNA from 1 species